CAGGGAUUGCCCUAGUAACGGCGAGUGAAGCGGCAACAGCUCAAAUUUGAAAUCUGGCUCUCUUGUGGGGUCCGAGUUGUAAUUUGUAGAGGGCGCUUUGGCACUGAUGGCGGUCUAAGUUCCUUGGAACAGGACAUCACAGAGGGUGAGAAUCCCGUACGUGGUCGCUAAUCUUUUGCUGUGUAAAGCCCCUUCAACGAGUCGAGUUGUUUGGGAAUGCAGCUCUAAAUGGGAGGUAAAUUUCUUCUAAAGCUAAAUAUUGGCCAGAGACCGAUAGCGCACAAGUAGAGUGAUCGAAAGAUGAAAAGCACUUUGGAAAGAGAGUCAAAAAGCACGUGAAAUUGUUGAAAGGGAAGCGCUUGCCGCCAGACUUGCCUGUAGUUGCUCACCUAGGCGUUAAGCCCGGGGCACUCUUCUGCAGGCAGGCCAGCAUCAGUUUGGGCAGCCGGAUAAAGGUCUCUGACACGUUCCAUCCUUCGUAGAUGGCCAUAUAGGGGAGACGUCAUGCGGUUAGCCUGGACUGAGGUCCGCGCAUUGCUAGGAUGCUGGCGUAAUGGCUGCAAGCGGCCCGUCUUGAAACACGGACCAAGGAGUCUAACAUCUAUGCGAGUGUUUGGGUGUCAAGCCCGAGCGCGCAAUAAACGUGAACGGAGGUGGGAACCCUCUUUGCGGGGGGUGCACUAUCGACCGAUCCUGAUGUCUUCGGAUGGAUUUGAGUAAGAGCAUAGCUGUUGGGACCCGAAAGAUGGUGAACUAUGCUUGAAUAGGGUGAAGCCAGAGGAAACUCUGGUGGAGGCUCGCAGCGGUUCUGACGUGCAAAUCGAUCGUCAAAUUUGGG
rnacentral:rRNA from 1 species